rnacentral:lncRNA from 1 species
UUUUACUGUUGGUGGAAUCUUAUGCUUAUUUCCAAAUAUACAUUUUUUAUUGUCACAAUUUUUUUGAAUGUUUUAUUAAUUGAUCCUUUAAUGGAGUCAUCAUUUACUUCAAAUAAAAUCCUAUUGUAUUAAAUCUUUUACAGAUUUCAAAAUCUUCUACUAGAGUCUAAUUAAAUCUUCUAGCAAAGAUUUAAUAAGAACAGUGUCCAGUCUGACAAGCAAAAUUUAGUGGCGAAUUCAACUAAUUUUGCUGAAAAAUUCAUGGCAUUACUUUACAGGAAUGUCUAACAACUCCAUUCUGUGCUGAGGAUCUUUGGUCAGUCAUGUAUGUUUAAAACCACAGUCAGAACCAGCAGAACAAAGAGCAACUCAACAGGGAGACAGAUGAUCCUGCCACAAAGCCAGGGAGUUGAGGCAGUGGGCAGGGCGGCCACAGCCUCCCAGGCAGCCCUGCGCAGUCCUGGCGGCCAGAGACGGCCGGCAAGGAGGCUGCUGGGAAUGCACAGACGCUGCUGCGCUGAUUUCAGAGACCCAGAGGAUGGGAGAAAAGCAGCAUCUGAUGUUAAAGUGGAGGCAUUCCUUCCAUCCUUGACUCGGUCAACUUGAUUACGGAACCCUAACACAGGGUGAGCCUUCUGCCCUGGGAAGCUUGUGCGGCCUAGGAUUCUUCUGGAAGAAGUGGUCUGUUUGAUUCCAACAGCAGUGACAGCCCAGCUCCUGUUACAGAAGUGGAAAACCAAAUCUGCCACCAGGGACUGGCGUGUGAAUUAAACAUCCACUUGGAAACCGUAUGCCCCACAGAAAGCCAAACCCGAUCCCCACUCCUCUUGGGACAUGAGAAAGGGAGGCCGCCGGGUGAAGCUGGAGAAGGGGUGGUCUGUGGAGGUCUCCCUUUGUGGAGCAGAGACCUUUGUUGCCACCUGAGGUAUGCAGGUCAGGAAUGCUGGUCUCAGGGCCCUCAGAGGGGACUCGGGAGAGGGGCUCGAGGAAAGCCAUAUGGUGGGGGUUACCUCGAACCCAUCUCCCAUUCCCACACUCUCCUAGAAUAGCUGCCUGCCCCAGGAAGUGGGCUUUUCUGCCAACUUUUCUUAUUAGCAGAGAACAGGCCCACACAAAUGCAAAAUAAAUAAGCGGCGACUCAUUUUUGGUUGAAAUCUCAUUGAUCACAGAGCAGCCUGCAUCCAGGAGCUGCUAGGCCAGGGUUUCUGACUUUUCUGCUGAGUGGUCACAGCCUGGGGCAUCGUCUUCACCAGGCUCUGCUUUCCUGAUGAGAGUGUCAGGUGCCAGCCAUCCUGGUUAGCGGGGCUGUGCUGGGGGGUGCACACUUCUCAGGCACCAAAUACACCCAGUGAAAAUGUGCCACCCGCCUGCGCCUCCUGUGGCCUUCAUCCCUGUGCCACUCCUGCAGGGACCCACAGCCUCUGU